UAGCUCAGCUGGAUAGAGUACUCGGCUACGAACCGAGCGGUCGGAGGUUCGAAUCCUCC
rnacentral:tRNA from 11 species